UACGGAGGAUCCAAGCGUUAUCCGGAAUUACUGGGCGUAAAGAGUUGCGUAGGUGGCAUAGCAAGCAAGCAGUGAAAGGCUACGGCUCAACCGUAGAUACAUUGUUUGAACUGCUGAGCUAGAGCACGAGAGAGGUAGCUGGAAUUCCUAGUGUAGGAGUGAAAUCCGUAGAUAUUAGGAGGAACACCGAUGGCGUAGGCAGGCUACUGGCUCGUUGCUGACACUAAGGCACGAAAGCGUGGGGAGCGAACGGG
rnacentral:rRNA from 1 species